rnacentral:snRNA from 1 species
UAACUUACCUGGCAAGGGAGACACCGUGACAAGAAGGCGGUUCACCCAGGGCGAGGCUCAGCCAUUGCACUCCGGCUGUGCUGACCCCUGCGAAUUCUCAAAUGUGGAAAUCCGAUUGAAUAAUUUCUGGUAGUGGGGGACUGCGUUCGCGCUCUCCCCUG